rnacentral:rRNA from 1 species
AACGAACGCUGGCGGCAUGCCUAACACAUGCAAGUCGAACGAGACCUUCGGGUCUAGUGGCGCACGGGUGCGUAACGCGUGGGAACCUGCCCUUAGGUUCGGAAUAACUCCCCGAAAGGGGUGCUAAUACCGGAUAAUGUCUUCGGCCCAAAGAUUUAUCGACUUUGGAUGGGCCCGCGUUGGAUUAGCUAGUUGGUAGGGUAAUAGCCUACCAAGGCGACGAUCCAUAGCUGGUCUGAGAGGAUGAUCAGCCACACUGGGACUGAGACACGGCCCAGACUCCUACGGGAGGCAGCAGUGGGGAAUAGUGGACAAUGGGCGAAGGCCUGAUCCAGCAAUGCCGCGUGAGUGAUGAAGGCCGUAGAGUUGUAAAGCGCAUUUACCCAGGAUGAUAAUGACAGUACCGGGAGAAUAAGCCCCGGCUAACUCCGUG